UACGUAGGGGGCAAGCGUUGUCCGGAAUCAUUGGGCGUAAAGAGCGUGUAGGCGGCCCGAUAAGUCCGCCGUGAAAGUCCAGGGCUCAACCCUGGGAUGCCGGUGGAAACUGUCGGGCUAGAGUCCGGAAGAGGCGAGUGGAAUUCCUGGUGUAGCGGUGAAAUGCGCAGAUAUCAGGAGGAACACCAAUUGCGAAGGCAGCUCGCUGGGACGUUACUGACGCUGAGACGCGAAAGCGUGGGGAGCAAACAGG
rnacentral:rRNA from 1 species